ensembl:lncRNA
AUGUUGAUUACUACAGCACAACAGAGACACAGUGAUAGUGCCGUGCUCGUGCAGAAGACCAACCCACAUCUCAGGCCUGUACCUCCAGAUCCACUACCUAAUGGUGCAAGGGAUUUGGGCCAAGGUCCCCCUCCCCCGCUCUAUCACUCGAACACGCACACCCUUCAGCCUGACCGCGCGCACACAGACCCGCGCGCAGAUCGCGGCGACCCGCAGCAGCUGAGCGGCGUGCCAAACGCCGACACACAACAGCAGAACGGUCGCACGCGCACAAGCGGACUCCUACCCAACGCAUCUCAGAAUGCCAAUUCGGACCCGCGCAACGGCAUCGACAACCGGACCUUCACGCACACCGAUGCUCCGAAUGCCACCGCGCAGCCACAAAACCCCGACGUUGUCAUCCGGGCCGGGGAUCACCAGGUCAGCCUGAACACGCUGCAGCAAAACAACCGUGCACAAAUGCCCACCAUUCAUGUCAACCUCACCUCGUACCCAAACACCGGUCAGCAGGCUCAGGGAGAAAACGCAUUUCCGUUGACCGACACGAACGAUCGCAACGCUUCGCGAAAUCAACAAACCGUGACCCAUACAGGGCAAUCACAUCCCAGAAUGCAAAGUGGGCAGUCGUACCGCAGUGACCCCCGGGCGAAUGGUCACCAGGAUCAGCCUGGCCUAGUCCAGACUGGAUACACACACUAUAAUGGAAAUAACACAUCUCAGCGAAACGCCAACACGCAGACGUACGGGCAGCAGCCAGAACCUCCUCGCCGGGCCGACAGGAACUCAUGGGAUCUUCUGAGAGGGACACCAGCGUAUCCCAGUGGCACUCCUCAAAGAGGACAGACAGCGCCUGAGUACACUUCUGACUACACAGACUACACAGACUACACCACCCAUCCACCCAUACGAGAGUUGAGCGCGCCAAACCGAUCCCAGCCUCCACCUCAGAGCCGAACCACUUCGCGGAGCAGAGCUCCGCCCAGUUCACCGCCAACGGACAGACGGACGCGGAGCCGCUCGGCCGAUGUUCAAGGCCCGAGUGGUCGCGGUGUAACACGGUUUGAGGCUGAGCACCACACACAGAGAGGCGGCCACACACAAAGGGAGGGCGCUCAGCGAGACAUCAGAGGCUCGUCUGGUGGCCAGAGCGCCCCCGGGCAGGAAGCCACGCACGACAAUAACCCCCAGGCGCUGCCCGUCGUGAGCCGCUCUGCUCUGCCACAAGGACCGGGGACACAACAGGGGCCGACUACGCCGCGGGCUGCGGAUUCAAGAGCUUUGGCUGAUCCUAAUCACCUUGCACAGGCACACAUGGCCCAGCAACACAGAGCCGCGCCGGUCCAAACGGCACCGCAAGGCCCGGGCAAACAGACACAACUUGUCACAAACGGCGCCAAUCGGCCCGGCCAAGGAGGCACGGCUCCAGUCCCGCACUCCUCUGCCCGGCGUAAUCCGGGCGAGCUGACCCAGGCUGCCCUCACAGCCCACACCAAGGGGGCUCAAGUGUUUCAGAGUCGGAGGCAACAGACCCAGGCAGCUCUGCUUCAUUCCGAAGAGCAGGCACGGGUCCUCGCUGCUCGCCACGCGCCGACGCCUCCCCCGGCGAUCCCCCUCGCGCAGUUCCAGACCCUCCCCAAGAAGAACCAGCACAGAUCCCCUGCCAGAGGCGCUCAGCCCGCGAGACCCCCUGUUAACGUACCGGUGGCUCAGCGGCCCGCACGAGUCCGUCCGCGGCCCGCCGACCAACACCGCCGUCCCGGGGAUGGCGGACGGGGGCAACAACCCCGCGGCCCCCAACCACAGAAGCAUCAGGCACCUAGAGGGAGACCCAGAUGAUGGCAGAUACUACAGACUGCAGCCUGCGACUGUCUUGCAUGGAUCCACUGACACAAGCAAACAGCUGACAGACGUGAUCCAACACCCCGCCGAGCAAGACUGACUGCACAAAGUGUCACUCCCAGCAGCGCUGCCGUACCCCAGCGCCUCAUGCAGUCCGCUUCAAAUGAGCGAAAUGUCUCCUAUGGGGAUGUUAUAAAUGUCUUACUUUACUAGAAAGAAGUAUGUAUCUCAAGGGAGGGGGCCAAUGUGCAUAAUCACAGAACCUACGUGAUGAUACUGAAGCAUGUUUUCAUGAUCAAACCCCCCCCCCCCUCCCUCCCCUCCUCUCACCAAACACUAAGCCCACAUGUAUUGUGCUGCUGUGACUUCUGAAGCUGUGGUCAUGCAUCAGCGUAGACAGGUUCAGUGAUCCAUAGCUCCAGACCAAGCUCACCUCCCAUCUUCCAUUUAUCAUCAAAAGUUAUCAACACUACCUUGACAAGCGGCCAUUGAUGUGCUGCCGUUAUAUUUGUGUUUCACCCGUUGGUGACGGACAGGGGAGGUGACAUUUAUAGAAGAAGAAAUUAUCCAUAUUGGUGGUCUUUUAUGUACAUGAAAGUAUUUAUUCAGCGCCUCGUGUUUACAGAGGCGUUUUACGACACUUCCUCUCGAUUAGGAAAAAGGUUGGCGCUCCGAUUUAAGGCUCUGCUAACUAGGGAGGGAGAUCCCACUAAUGGAUAUAGGCGCUUAUCAAUGGAAAGCUUUGAAUCAAUGGAAUGCUCUAAUUGAAAUAAUCACACCCUCGCGUGACUGAUGUCAGCGCAAAGACUUCAUCCGCCAAGAUUUCUGUGGGGAAAAAGCACAAUGUAACAACGUGCUGUCCGCACUGGGUCGUGGACGGCACGUUUGUAAAAUGGGACGCCGGUCUUACUUUUACAGAUUUUGUAGUUAUUGAUUUAGAAUGUUUGUGCUUCAUUUUAAACGUGUUAAUGGAUUGUUCGGGUUACACCAAUCAAUUUCAACGCCAUUAUUAUUCAAUAAAUCGUCUUUUCAUAUGGAAUUUCAUGGAUAAGACUGGUGUGUGUGUGUGUGUGUGUGUGUUUUUAAAAUGUUCGUAUCAACAAAUCCUGAUGGAACUGCAGCAACUAAAACGUGACAUCUCAUUUCCCCUGAGCCAUACAACGCCAUUGAUAUCUAAUAAAAACACAUCAUUUAGCUACACAUUUGCUCUGUGGAACAUUAUUAACAUGAACGUGAGCUCUGGGGUUUGUUGGAGGCGAUUGCACGUGCGCCAUCCUGCUGCUGUAAAAUCAAUUUACUGCUUUGAGAGUCACAUUGAAAAGCUGCAGCAUUUCGAUUUCUUCCUUAAGAUUUCCAGCAGUCAGUAUGAUACAAUCCUUUAAAAUCAAAAGACAUAAACUGAACCUCCAUUUUGAAAAUCAACAUGAACAAACACACAGCACAUCUGGCAACUCCACCCAAACAUCGGGAACACUACUGCAUAGAAAAAUGAGUUUGUUUUUCAGAAAACGAAUGCAUGUACGUUGUUAAUACACUUGUUGAAUAUUCAUGCGAGAAGCUGCAAGCACGUUUAUUCAGUAUCUUCGCUCCUCAGGAGGGAUUUGCACAGAAUGGCACCAAACUCAUAUUUCCUCCAAUAAUAACAAAGUUUUUGCAGAACUUUGGCGAAUUGUACUGCUCAAACAAAUCCGGCGCAUCGUUACAUUUCUGCCAGCGUGGAAGUCACUUGUGUAGAAUAUUCACAGCACAAUGCACAAUCAUCCCUUAUUCUGCCUCCGCUUUCAAAAUGAGCUCAUUCUCCUCAAACACUCGGAUCUGUUUUUCCAGGACCACCUCGUGCAUGUUGACAGAAAGUCGGACCACGCAACCCGUCACUUCUUCUGCUGCUCCUGCGCAUCACAGCACCGUUUGCAGUGCACAUUCCCGCUCACUGUGCGUCUACAGUGCUAAUUACGCACGGUGCCCGUGCGCACAGAGCGCCGCCGCCGUUGGUUCUCCUCCGAUACGCACGUGCUCUUUGGGCUUUUGUUGUGGAGGCGCAGAACGCGGGUGUGUUUGGAUCACAGCUCAGUCGGUCUCCUCUGAUGAUCAGUCCCGCUGCUCUUGCAUUGAAGUCAGGUGGAGAUGGGAGUGCGUUCGAGCACCCUGGCGCCGGGAAAGGUUUGUGCCGUUGCCUCCACCUGCUCCGGAUGAAAGCUGCGAUUCAUGAAAAGUUUUGCAAAUAUCGCUCCAUGCCGUCUGGGAAGUGAAGGGCGUUUGUUUGUGGCCCGAACAACUGGAGCUGCAAGACCGCGUGGCUUCUUGGAACUCAGCAGACCCUAAAAACGCUGACGUGGCCCCUUUUUUCCUCGGCCAAUUUGAAUGCACAUCCUCUGGUGUUUUAUUGUCAUGCUUUUCCGUGAUUUACUGUGACUGCCGCGAGUAAUUGGAAUUGUCUACGCGUCGCUUUUGGAAGCAAGAAUUAACGUUAAACACAAGUGGAGUGCGCUGCGUGCAAACAGGCAUGUUUUCAGUAUUGAUGCUCCUUUUGGUGUGUGUCAAACCGGAGCAGAGAGCUUUUACUCUGGAGACUAUUUGAACUUAAAACUUAAUACAACAAGAUGGCCAAUAAGAUCAGAAUCAGGCUUCACCUGAUGACGUGUAGGAUAUUAGAAAUAAACUGACGACCCGGUUCAUAAAUUAAUAAAAGGCAUAUAGUGAACACCAGAAUACAGCCAUGAUUCUGAAACUGUGUAAUCAAUAAAGUAAUGACAAUAUUGUAAAACCACUGUAAUUUUGAAACUGUUAUCCAUAGAAUAAUACCAAUGUACAGCUAUGAUUGUAUGUAAUGUAAUCAGCUGGAAUGCAUGCAUGUAAUAUUUGCACAAUAACUAUUGACGGAGACGUUCGAAAUCCGAGUGACAUUGAUCUCAGCAGAGGACCACUCCCAGAGGUGUGGACACUAACUUCCACACCUUUACGCAUCUGUAUAAAUACCCAACCAUUGUUCUGGAGUUCGCUGGUGGAGGCAACAGACGGGCACAAUGGGGGGUCAAAGGGCCCUGGGGUCUGUUGGUUGCAAAGCUGAGAUGCUCUUUUUACCACAAUUAAAUUAAUUAAAUACUUUUGUUUUUAACCUUUCGAUCUGCGAUGUCCGUCUAGCGUUUCUUCAUUUUGAACACAACAGUAGUUUAAAAAUAACAGAAUUAAGUCAAAUCAACUAUCCGCUUGUAAGCGCAAAAGUCGCAAUGCCGCCGUUCCUUUGUUCACUGCAGUAACGUCAUCAGCCCUUUGACAUCCACGUGCCCUCCCUGUCAAAGUGCCCUUGAGCAGGACACUGAACGUCUGCCUCUGUGCACUGACCCCCCUCCUGCCCCCCUUUAGUGAAAUGCCACAUGAGUCUCACAGGAACAAAUUUAUGAUUCAACUUCAUACUCCAAACAAAAAAAAACAAAAAACCUCUUCAUUUUAGAGCGUGACAAGUGACCUUGGGUUUAUGGCUGCGGGCUGAGCCGCGGCGUCCUUCAACAGUUCGCUGACUGUAAAUCGCACUGGAUGGGAGUGUUAAAAAUGUAAAUCAGCUCUGUGGCAGCAAGGGACUCCAUGCAUCCCCACGCCACCAGGGGGAGCCACGAGAGAGGACCGUCCAGGUUAUCUCUUGAUCACUCCCCCCCCAUCCACCCCCUCGAGGCCUUCACCAUCUGUGCAACUUUGAUGCUGACUGCUGAAAUAAAAAACACCAGCCACAAGCCAAGUUAUUUCUGUCCGGCACACACACGCAAACAAAAAGACAAGGAAAAAUAAAUAGCUGUGUGUGUAGCAGCGAGUAAAUCCUCAGUUGUCAUUUGGCAUGUGGUGCUUAAAGGUGAACCGCUGCCUUCGGGGAUACGCAU